rnacentral:rRNA from 1 species
AUGGCUCGCUCAAAGGUUCUGUGCACUUGCAUUCUGAUCAUCAUCCUCAGCUCAAUCCAAGCCGAGGCAAGGCGGCUCACAACUGCGACGGCGGUGACGGUGGCGAGCAAGGGGAAGGAGCCAUGGGGCGCGUUGGAAAGUAACAGCCGAAGCUUGAGAGCAACUUCAAGUGAGACUAGCAUAGCAGGGGCACAAGGGCUAAACGGCGGAGCCAUGUCGACCGCGACUACGGUGGAAUCCCGGGGGACGGCGCCUGGGAACAGUCCCGGCAUAGGCAACAAAGGGAAGAUCAACAACUAG